rnacentral:rRNA from 1 species
CUACACGGGUUUCUAAUCCUGUUCGCUACCUACGCUUUCGUCCCUCAGCGUCAAUAUAUUAUUAGUGAUCUGCCUUCGCAAUAGGUGUUCUGAGUAAUAUCUAUGCAUUUCACCGCUACACUACUCAUUCCAACCACUUCAUAAUAAUUCAAGAACAACAGUAUCAAUGGCAAUUCUACAGUUGAGCUGCAGACUUUCACCACUGACUUAUUAUCCCGCCUACGGACCCUUUAAACCCAAUGAUUCCGGAUAACGCUUGGACCCUCCGUAUUACCGCGGCUGCUGGCAC